UUUAGAUUUCACCUCUCCCCACCUACCAUGGCUUCUGUGCUGUGAUUGCACUCCUGAUUCAACCCCUCCCCUGAUUUCUGUCGGGGAAACUUUGCAUUCGGUCGAAAUUGUUACAAAGUUCAGCUGGAAGUUUCCUUCCCUGUGUGGUUUCUUCCCGGUUCCUCUGGCAGCCCUCCCCAAGGACUUCUGUAAGACAAAGUCGGAAGUUACUUCCUUGGGGACCGAGAGCCCACAGGGGUCUUCCUACUGCUUCUUCUACCCCUGUAUUUCACUCAGCUCUCUAAAUUUGUCUCAGCUCCAGGUAAGAUCAAAUCCUUUACCCGUGAUCUGGAACUUCAGGUUCCCCAGUGAGAGUGUGUGUUUGGGGGCAGACAAUCCCCCUUUCACACAUUGGGCACUCACAGUUUUUUGGCUGUCUCCAGGCGCCCUGCAGGAGCAAUCUGCUUCCUUCAAAGAGUCUGUGGGUUAUCUCAGCUUUCCUGUUCUUCUUGAUUUUUGAAUGUGUAAGGGUAACUCUAGAAUUUUUCUCAUCUUUGAAUAGAGGACAUGAAAUUUUCUCUCCAUGGUCUAGGGAGAGUUAUGGCUCCAGGAAAGAAGAGAAAAUGUAUUAUAUUUCCCACUUCUCUUCUAUCUUUGCAGGAAGGCAGGGAUUUCAACCUGGGCAACAAGUCCACAGAACAUGAGAUUUCUGAAGGUGUGUGGGAUACAUCAUGGUUACAUAAAAAUCCUUUCACUAUAGUUCCUGCUUCCCUAUCUUCAAAAUGAUUCCCUGAAGACUUCCGCCAUGACGGUCUAAAGCCUAACCUCUGAACUGUGGAUGGAAAAUUGAACUCCUUGAUGUGAUCUCUGCACAUCAUGCAACCCUAAACCUAAAUAUAUUCUCUGUGUGGGAGCCCCAUUAUUUUUAGUCUAAUACAUUUUAAGUCAUCUUAAAAAAUUAUAUUUUGUUUUCU
rnacentral:lncRNA from 1 species